AGCCACCUUCGCUAGUGUCUUUCAAUGGUAAAACUGAUCCACAUGAGCAUCUUAUUAGAAUCAAUAACCAAAUGACAAUAGUAGGGGCUUCUAAUUCACUCUAAUAUAAGCUCAUGACCGAUACCUUUAAAAAGAGUGCUAUGUGUUGGUUAAUGAGUUUACUCAGAUGCUCAGUUGUCAGCUACCAGGAUUUAACUAAGAAAAUGGUACAACAUUUUUC
rnacentral:lncRNA from 1 species